rnacentral:lncRNA from 10 species
CGGCUGUCCUCGGCCCGUGCGCGGCGCCCGGAGUCCCACUCCUCCCGAUGCUGUCCCCCGCGCCCGGAGGCCGAGCCAAUUCUCUGGGAAGUUCCCGGCUUGGGAGCGGAGCGGCCGGUCGGAAGAACCUCGGGUGCUGGCGCGCCUGAAGUUGCAGACCAGACUGAAAUGUGCGAGACAUGUGCCUUUUUCUUAGGAAAGGCCCCAGGAGCAGAGUGGAGCUCAGAAAGACUCAGCGUGGGUGCUGGGUUCCGGCGCGACCAGCCUGAUACCUAGGUCAGCAUCUCAGCCACACAAGCAGGCGGCAGUUCUGUCAGGAAUUACUACAUCUGGUGAUUCCACUUCUCAUAGCUCACCGCUGGGAGAAUAAUUCCUCAGGAUUAACAAGAUCUAUUCCAGAGGAUCCUCACUGCUGAAGCGAUUUUAGAAGACAGUGUGGUCUGUUGACAGUAUGGAAUAUUCUUUACCCAUCAGAUAUGAUCUGUAUGUGAUUGGAAGGAAAUAAACCAACUGCUAACAACACUUCUCUAUAGAUGUUCAGAUUCAGUAAUUUUUGUAUUUUUCUCUACACUUUUGUUUUUUCAAAUUUCCUAGCACAAGAAGACUUUGACUUACUGCACAUGUCAUUUUAAAUGACCUUUAUAAAGACUCUAUAGAAACAAUUUGCUAUGUCAUGAAAGUAACA